AGGCAGCUGGACCCACGUGAGACUGUGACAGGCUCCUCUGCAGACUUGGCUCCUCCUCCUCCCUACCAGCCGCAGGUCAAUCGAGACACUAAAAGCAAGGAUUGCCCAACUCCUGCUGAGGGCCAUCCUCCUUGGUUGCCCUAGCAACCGGAAAAUAAGCGUCAAGCAGCUAAUGUAAGGGGAUCCAGCUGUAGGAGGACACUGGUCGCGAGAGUGCAGCUAGCAUACCGGGCAGCUUGCCUCAAGAUGGGCUGGAAGGAUGAGAAUGCGGUGCAUCUCCAACUCAAGUAGCGUCAUGCACCUGCAACGAACGCGGCCCCCCUUCGCUCGUCUUCCCUUGCUCUGCUUUGUGCAUCCUGCUUGACUACGGCCGUGGUUCCAUCCAAAAGAUGCUGAUGGGAAUGUGUGCAAAGACACCAGGCAGACAGCCCACUCUCCUCUCUCCCACUCCCCUCCUCCUUCCCAUGGUUGCAUUGAGGACCUCCGUGUCGUGUCUCCGCAGGGUCCUAGCGUCUGUGAUGUUCAUGGUGAACUGUCGAGAACAAGAGCACAGUGGUGAUUUGAGCACUUUCAUGGAUCGGCACGGCCUCCAGCACAAGAUUUAUUGAGAAGGUGAGGGGAGUGAUGAGGCCGGCCUUCAGCCUCCAUCACCCGAGCUUCUCAAAGUGGGGCUUCUGUUGCCACGGUGAUCCUUUUCAUAUACAGUCCAUCUCGUUGCUCUAUCUAUGGGAUGACAAUGAAAUGUGUGUGAUGAUGGACACAACUAUACUCCUAACAACUGCUUUUUUUAUUUGCAUUUGUAAGGUCGCCCGACCAUUUGCAUUUAAUGACAAUCACCUUGCGCAUCAUUCAUGUAACACCUCACAUGCAGUGACUGAUUCAUUUCAAUUACUAAUAGACUUAUUAGAAUAAUGUCAGAGUGACAUCUCAGCUGUUCUGGUUUCAGUAUGACACCGUUUUAUAUCACAGCUUUCCUGGAAGUGAUUGUUGUUGUAUCGCAAAUUAUUUUUGUCCGCUGGUAAGUUUUAGAAACCUAAGGGUGUGUGUGUGUGUGUGUGCGUG